AGAGUUUGAUCAUGGCUCAGAACGAACGUUAGCGGCGCGCCUAACACAUGCAAGUCGCACGAGAAAGGGCUUCGGCCCCGGUAAAGUGGCGCACGGGUGAGUAACACGUAGGUAAUCUUCCCUCGAGUGGUGGAUAACCCUCCGAAAGGAGGGCUAAUACAGCAUGAGACCACGGCUUCUUCGGAAGCUGAGGCCAAAGCGGGCCUCUUAAUUAAAGCUCGCGCUUGAGGAUGAGCCUGCGGCCCAUCAGCUAGUUGGCGGUGUAACGGACCACCAAGGCAUAGACGGGUAGCUGGUCUGAGAGGAUGAACAGCCACACUGGAACUGAGACACGGUCCAGACUCCUACGGGAGGCAGCAGUGGGGAAUCUUGCGCAAUGGGCGAAAGCCUGACGCAGCGACGCCGCGUGAGUGAUGAAGGCCCUCGGGUUGUAAAGCUCUGUGGGGAGAGACGAAUAAGGGCCGGCUAAUACCCGGCUCGAUGACGGUAUCUCCUUAGCAAGCACCGGCUAACUCUGUGCCAGCAGCCGCGGUA
rnacentral:rRNA from 1 species